rnacentral:lncRNA from 1 species
GUCUGUGUCUGUGUGUGAAUGAAAUCAUGUCCUGUUUUUUUUCAUAUAUUCUGUAACUUUAUUGCAAUAUUUUUUCCGCUUGGCCCAGCCACUUAGCUCGAUUAGCCUUAGUUAUUUCUAAGUUGCUGUGCUCUGUUUUUCAUUGUUAUUUUUUCACAUUGCAUGUAUUUAUUUUUAUUGUAAAAUUUUUCUCGGCACAAAAUAAAGAUUGUUGUUGUUGUUGCAGGAAAGUUUGAGCAGGAGGACAUUGAUGGACAUAUACUUUUGUCGACUACUGUACAGAGCAGUCAAGCCAUAGAGAAGUUAGGACUCGAUACUACUGGCAAGGAAGGAAAGUUCUCGGAGAAAUAAAUGAACUCAGUGGAGGACCCAUUGCAGGAAGCUGUGAGUGAGAGAAGCCCAUGUCAAGAACUGAUUUUUCCUUGGUGGACAGAAUACUGACCAACACAGAAAACAAUCAAUUGAAUACGACAUAUAGAACCAUUUAUUACAAAAAAGAGGAAAAUCACUAAUUACAUCAAACAGGCUUGGCCUUUGGGGUCUCCAGCACCAAGGUUUAGAAAUAAUCCAGAAGCAACAAAGAAAAUGCUUGUUGUUGUUGACACCCUUGGCAAGGACAAGGGAUUUACUUUACCAAGGCUUGCACUGGGGAGGAAUGCUAUAUUGCAAAUUAUACACAAACACAUGGAUGAAUGAUGAUGUAAGGAGUCUGAGCAGCUGGAAGUGACUAGCAGACUGUGUCUUGUAAGCAGCAGUGAAAGUGAAACCACAAGUAAUACGAGUGGAGACAGCCCAGAAAGUGAUGAGGCAAAGUCAAAUAAAUUGGAUGAUUACUACAACACAGAACUCACUUUAUCAUCAGCAGAAACCAUUAUCUUGGUAUGGCUGGACAGAACCAUCAAUGAUGUUCACCUCAUUAAGGACCUAAGACCAAUUGCUAAAACUCUUAAUCUGAAACUGCUCAGGAACAAAGACAAAACUUCUCACAUCCGUGCUAUUGCAAGUACCCUUUUAAAACAGGAGAAGUUCAAUGUGAAUGCCCCCUUGGAAAAUGUCACCAAGGAUGAUGUUGUUCUAAAUGAGAAGUGACUAUUGGUUGUUACAAUUGCAAGUCAACCUUUAUGGCAACCAGCACUGUGUCUGUCAGCUGACUUUAUAAUCUUGGUCUGAAUAGACAAAGUGACCAACCAUGAUCACAAAUGUCCAGCUAAUCAAGGAACUUAAUCUGGCUGCAUUCAUCAAUGAGACUUUGCCAAACUAUAGUUUUAUGCUGCACAAUGAUCCCAAACACACCUCGAGAUUUGCCCAGGCCUAUUUUGAUGAGCAUGGCAUCGACUGGUGGCCAACCCCUCCCGAAAGCCCAGACCUCAAUCCAAUUGAGAACGUUUGGCAUGAACUGAAGUUGUACCUUGAGUCAAAAGUCAAGCCCUGAACAAAAGAAGAACUCAUUGACGGCAUUCAAAAAUUUUGGAACAAAAGGAUGGAUAGAGCCAAUUGCGGGCGUUACGUGUAUAUCGAUCAUGUCCUUCGGUAGGCUGUUCCAGCUGCUGUCAUGGUGCGUGGUGGUGCAACCUAGUAUUGAACGUUUUAAAUAAGCUUUCAGAAUAAAAACAGCUCCUUUAGGAGCAACCAAAUCUGAGAAAAGUCAAUGGCCAAUAAAAAAGACUACUUUUUUCGGAUCAGAACUUUGAUUUUCAUGCAAAGUUCUCUCCCCUAUUCCCACCCCUUUUGUUAUCCUAGCCCAAGUAAGAAUAGUGACAAAAAUAAUAAUAGAUUCACAUCACUGCAAACUUCCUUAUUAAUCUGGCUGUUUACUUAAGUGCAGAUGAAACUUGACGUAAUUUCAUCGGCUUGGGAUUAUUAACAAUUGAACUGUAUAUUUUACUGCUGACUGAUGUCAGGGUUUUAUUUCUGACUGUUCAUGUGUGUAAAUCAGAAACAUCUUGUUCAGCUGAAAAGAAAUAGUAAGUUUCCAAAAACAGAUUUGAAAACAUUCGAAGUGGGAAUAAUUCUUAAAGAUCAAAUUACUAUUGACACAGAGAAACGUGCAAAAUAACAUUGUUAUUAUUUCUUCAAAUACAUGAAAUGACUAAAUAAUGCAGAAAUGAAGUUAAAAACCAUCCGCGGCUCACUUAAAAGACACAAUAGAUCACAGUAGAUGCAAAAACAAUCAAAAAUGACAGAAUCUCUAUUUUUUCUAUUCAAAGUGCUUUUUGGUAAAAAGAAAAAGAAUGCCACACGCAUGCCCUUAGGUUGCACUAAAGCAUGUGCAUUUGCAGUGUUCUUUCCCUUUUGUCAUAGUAGUAAAUAAGCAUACAUCAUAUUUGCCAUACUAAUUUGGCUGUUGUGAUUGUGGUUCGGCUGAGAAGAAAAGGAAAGUUUUCAGAAACAGAUUUGAGAUCAUUAGCGGUAAGAAAAAAAUUGUAAACAUUGCCAAAUUAUGAGCGAACACACUUUAGAAAUCUUUUUGCAACUCAAAAUUUAGCUUUUGAUUAAGCCACGCUUAAUCAAAAGCACUGUAGCAUUGUUUCAAUCAAAUGGACUAAUAAACAAUAAUGUGUGAAAUCAUUCAAGUGCAAUGUGCACGCCCACCGCACACUUUUGAGUGAAUGAUGAAAAAGACUUGGAAAUCGAUCUGCUUGUUGAAAAAUGUUAAUUGUAAAUUUGUGGUAUGAGUGGAAAAGUAUGCACAAAUUUCACAGCACCUUAAACGAAAAGGUAUUUUUAACGAGAGGGCGACACGUAUAUCAUAGACCAACAGCCUGUACAACAAUAGUUGAUGUGUUGUUUUUGAUUACAUUUGAAUAACAAUUGGAUUCUUAUAACAGUUGAUGCAAAAGCCAAUCAAUUUGCAGGAUUUUCGAUCCAACUGGAGCUUGUGUUUUGUUAUAAAAAGGUUGCAAUCCUUGCCCUAGUCAAUAAACACUUGCUUUCCACAAUCACCACCGUUAAAAUGAGUAGACAAAUCGCACACGUAAACUGGAGUCGAUGACGUUAUUCAGACGUCUUUCAUACUGCUAUAGUUGAUCCAUCGCCGAUCAAACAAGGUAAAAAAGUAUGGGUAAUCUGGGGGAAAACCAAAAAGAAAUACACUGCUGUUUUAAGCAGCUACCCCGUAAAUGAUGAGAACAAGCCUGAGUCUUCUAAAGAUGACCACAGCCAUGUUGAGCAAAAUGAAAACUGGUGAGUCUCAACCUGUCUUAAUUUGCGAUAAACUUGCUUAAACCAUCCUUUUUGGUAAAGAAGAAAUGAUGAUAGAUUGAGACAGCUCAGUAAUCAAAGUAAGAGAAAACUUUUGUGGCUCGCCACCAUCAAAGACAAGUUUACUGCUGUGAGAUCUGAUUAAGUGUUGGCAAAUUUUUUUGCGUCAACUUUUGCUGUAAAUGCGCGUACUGUUUGUUCUGAACUGAUUUUUUCACAAACCCUGCAUAUUUGAUAUUAAUACAAAUUUUGACUUCCCUUUUCAGAUCUCAGAAGCUACGCAAUCCAGUGAACCUGCAAAAAAAAAGGAAGACAAGAGACCCAAAGGCCAAAGACAAAAGAGAAACCCACAGGAAAGAUUCUGGCCACAAAGUCACAGACCAAGUUCUACGUUGAAGAGUCUGAGUCAGAUGCCAGUGACAGUUCAGAUGAGUUGCCGUUAGCCUCAGCCUUGACAGCCUUACAAAGGACCCAGCAGUUUUUCAGACAUUGAUGAUGAAAUAGCGGAUCCAAGUAUGGGGCAGUUGAUCGCUGACGCAAUGAACACUGUGAACAAUGUGACUAAUGCAUGCAAUGCUGAUAGGCAAGAUAGUACCUCCACUGAACUACAACUGAUAAGAACUAUUCUAGAGAGGCUGGAGUGCACAUUUGCAAGGCAAGAAGCCAAACUGGAUAAGCUGUUGCAGCAGACUAACUUGCACUUUAACCAGCAACCCCCACCACCUAUGUUCUCUACCCCUGAUGUGGCUACAAAACAGUUCAGUCAGUCUGCAGAGUACCUCCCAUUUAAGUCAUCCAACCCCAGCAGACCUUCCCUACCAGAACCUACAUCUGCAGAUCCGGACUGGAUAUUGUAUGAUGUCUUCCAACAGUCAAAUCUUGAGUUGGCAGGAUAUUGCACUGUUGGAGGUUCUGCCAGUGUCC